rnacentral:rRNA from 1 species
CUCGUAGCUUGCUAUGAGAACAAUUAGUGGCAGACGGGUGAGUAAUGCAUAGGAAUCUACCUAGUAGUAUAGGAUAGCCACUAGAAAUGGUGGGUAAUACUGUAUAAUCCCUGCGGGGGAAAGAUUUAUCGCUACAUGAUGAGCCUAUGUUAGAUUAGCUAGUUGGUGGGGUAAUGGCCUACCAAGGCAGUGAUCUAUAGCUGGUCUGAGAGGAUGAUCAGCCACACUGGAACUGAGACACGGUCCAGACUCCUACGGGAGGCAGCAGUGGGGAAUAUUGGACAAUGGGCGCAAGCCUGAUCCAGCUAUGCCGCGUGAGUGAGGAAGGCCUUAGGGUUGUAAAACUCUUUCAGUGGGGAAGAUAAUGACGGUACCCACAGAAGAAGUCCCAGCAAACUCCGUGCCAGCAGCCGCGGUAAUACGGAGGGGGCAAGCGUUGUUCGGAAUUAUUGGGCGUAAAGGGCAUGUAGGUGGUUUGGUAAGUUAAAGGUGAAAUGCCAGGGCUUAACCCUGGAGCUGCUUUUAAUACUGCCAGACUGGAGUCCGGGAGA